GCGCCACCUUCCUGUUCAAGUGAGCACAGCACAACAAGGAAAGAGCAAUCUCCUUUCAAUGUGAAGACAGGAUGAGGGUCUGGGUUGGCUUCGGCGGGGAUGAGAGACAGAAAAGUGAAAGCAGCCCCAUGUCCUUCAGGAUGACCGUCUCCAAGGACAGGUAGUCCUCAUACUCCUUCAUGGCCUCCUCCAAGAUCUGCGCCACCUG